rnacentral:rRNA from 1 species
CCUACGGGUGGCAGCAGUAGGGAAUAUUGCUCAAUGGGGGAAACCCUGAAGCAGCAACGCCGCGUGGAGGAUGAAGGUUUUCGGAUUGUAAACUCCUUUUGUUAGAGAAGAUAAUGACGUUAUCUAACGAAUAAGCACUGGCUAACUCCGUGCCAGCAGCCGCGGUAAUACGGAGGGUGCACGGGUUACUCGGAAUCACUGGGCGUAAAGAGCGCGUAGGCGGGAUAGCAAGUCAGAUGUGAAAUCCUAUGGCUUAACCAGAGAACUGCAUUUGAAACUGUUAGUCUAGAGUAUGGGAGAGGGAGGUGGAAUUCUUGGUGUAGGGGUAAAAUCCGUAGAGAUCAAGAGGAAUACUCAUUGCGAAGGCGACCUG